rnacentral:rRNA from 1 species
UACGUAGGGUGCGAGCGUUGUCCGGAAUUACUGGGCGUAAAGAGCUCGUAGGUGGUUUGUCGCGUUGUUCGUGAAAACUCACAGCUCAACUGUGGGCGUGCGGGCGAUACGGGCAGACUGGAGUACUGCAGGGGAGACUGGAAUUCCUGGUGUAGCGGUGGAAUGCGCAGAUAUCAGGAGGAACACCAACGGCGAAGGCAGCUCGCUGGGACGGUACUGACGCUGAGGCGCGAAAGCGUGGGGAGCGAACAGG